rnacentral:rRNA from 1 species
AUUGAACGCUGGCGGCAGGCCUAACACAUGCAAGUCGAACGAGUGGCGGACGGGUGAGUAAUGUCUGGGAAACUGCCUGAUGGAGGGGGAUAACUCCUGGAAACGGGAGCUAAUACCGCAUACCAUCAGAUGGGCACAUGUGGGAUUGGCUUGUUGGGGGGGUAACGGCUCAACAAGGAGACGAGCCCUAGCUGGUCUGAGAGGAUGACCAGCCACACGGGAACUUAGACACGGUCCAGACUCCUACGGGAGGCAGCAGUGGGGAAUAUUGCACAAUGGGCGCAAGCCUGAUGCAGCCAUGCCGCGUGUAUGAAGAAGGCCUUCGGGUUGUAAAGUACUUUCAGCGGGGAGGCGUUACCCGCAGAAGAAGCACCGGCUAACUCCGUGCCAGCCGCCGCGGUAAUAC